AUUGAACGCUGGCGGCAGGCUUAACUCAUGCAAGUCGAGCGGAGAUGAGGUGCUUGCACCUUAUCUUAGCGGCGGACAGGUGAGUAAUGCUUAGGAAUCUGCCUAUUAGUGGGGGACAACAUUCCGAAAGGAAUGCUAAUACCGCAUACGCCCUACGGGGGAAAGCAGGGGAUCUUCGGACCUUGCGCUAAUAGAUGAGCCUAAGUCGGAUUAGCUAGUUGGUGGGGUAAAGGCCUACCAAGGCGACGAUCUGUAGCGGGUCUGAGAGGAUGAUCCGCCACACUGGGACUGAGACACGGCCCAGACUCCUACGGGAGGCAGCAGUGGGGAAUAUUGGACAAUGGGCGGAAGCCUGAUCCAGCCAUGCCGCGUGUGUGAAGAAGGCCUUUUGGUUGUAAAGCACUUUAAGCGAGGAGGAGGCUACCUGGAUUAAUACUCUAGGAUAGUGGACGUUACUCGCAGAAUAAGCACCGGCUAACUCUGUGCCAGCCGCCGCAGUAAUAC
rnacentral:rRNA from 1 species